GGCUCCAUAGCUUAGUGGUUAGAGCGCUGGUCUUGCAAACCAGAGGUCGCGAGUUCGAUUCUCGCUGGAGCCU